UUUAUUUGAUUCUUUCUGCAGCUUUUGGUUAAAUUCCCUGAACAUCGUUUGGGAUUUAACGGAGCUGAAGAAGUGAAGAGCCAGCCUUUAUUCUGUAAAAUAAAUUGGGAACACCUCUUGAAUAAACAAGUGAGGCCGCCAUUCCUCCCCAAUGUGCGAAGCUAUGAUUCAAACCUUGUUCUACCUACUUACGGCCAAACGGAGCCUAUAGCAGACUCCGUCAAUGAAGCUCUCCAGAACUUUGAUUAUUAUGCUGGCUGAAUGGGAGAAGAGACAAGCGGAACCAACCUGGCACAUUUGAAGGUUGAGGCAAAUGCCACUCCUCACCCAGGAAUGACGCAGCCGGCUAAAGGAAGCUUUCCAGCACCAGGACUUUCUAGGAGGUCACAAUGUGAUCUUCAUGCAGGAAGGAGAUGAGUGGAAGGCCAAGUCCAGUUGGUCUAACUCUUGGUGCCUCCGUUUAAUCUUCUACAUCAGCUGGGUGCAACCCUUUCCUCCCAGAACGGAAGGAUAUUCCCUGCAGGCCGGACAAACCUAAGCAAAGCAGGGACAGCACCGGCCGCUACCGUAACUCACUGGCAAUACCGCGUCUCCACCAGCGAUACAUCACCAAUGGAGUCCUCUCUCCAACACUGCUGGACCCUUUGAGUUUAAAUGGACGCAGAACAACCAGGCUAAUGGAGACUUCAGAGUACCACCACUACCAGGGCGGUGCCGUCUCCUUCAAGAACGAUCUUCCACUUGGAACUGCUGUUGCCCAGGCAAUUCUUCCCACGCCUGGAACUGCCUACUUAUCCUGAGUGUCAGAGAUGCACCCACCAUCAUAAUUUGGAAAGAGAUAAGUACAGCUAUGUGGCACUCCUUAUUUCACUGUCGCUUGAAACGUAGUGUUUAUUUUACACCUUUACUGUAGAUGUAGUUACAAUUAAAUGGCUUCUUCUCCCACUGGCACUGCCGGGCCCCCGUCUUCUUCUUCUAAUACCCCCUGCCCCUCAGAGGUUCAUGCUUGCAUGGCACUGUCUCUCCUCCCAUUGGCACUGCUGGGCCCCCCGUCUUCUUCUUCUAAUACUCCCUGUCUUCUUCUUCUAAUACCCCCUGUAUGGCACUGCCUCUCCUCCCACUGGCCCUGCCAGGCCCCCCAUCUUCUUUUUCUAAUACCUCCUGCUCCUCAGAGGUUCAUGCCAGUAUGGCACUCCUUCUCCUGCCACUAGCACUGCCGGGCCCCCCGUCCUCUUCUUCUAAUACCCCCUGCCCCUCAGAGGUUCAUACCUGUGUGGCACUGCCUCUCCUCCCACUGGCACUGCCGGGCCCCCCGUCUUCUUCUUCUAAUACCCCCUGCCCCUCAGAGGUUCAUGCCCUUAUGGCACUGACUCUUCUCCCACUGGCACUGCCAGGCCCCCCAUCUUCUUCUUCUAAUACCCCCUGCCCCUCAGUAGGUUCAUGCCUGUAUGGCACUGCCUCUCCUCCCACUGGCACUGCCAGGCUCCCUGUCCUCUUCUUCUAAUACCCCCUGCCCCUCAGUAGGUUCAUGCCUGUAUGGCACUGCCUCUCCUCCCACUUGCCCUGCCGGGCCCCCCCGUCUUCUUCUUCUAUUUCCCCCUGCCUCUGCUGGAAUGGGCAACUUCUCUCUGGGAGUGUCAGUCGCCCCUGACAUUUGAUGUGAAGGAAU